GCUAAUAAUGAAUAACAAAAUAACAAAAAAGAAAUAUUUUAAAUUUAUUUCAAAUAAAAUGGUCAGCCCAUAGUUUAAGGGUGGGUUAGUAAUCUAGUACAGUAUAAAAGGAAAAGAACAAAAACAAACCCAAGCGAAACGUGUAUUGGAUUUUUCGCUCAAAAUUGUGUUUUCUACGUCACCGUCGAGAAGGUUUCAUCGGACCUCCAGAACCCCAAGCGAAUCGCUCUUCUCUUUCUCGGUAUGGAUUUUUCUCUCUCGUGUAGCGUUUCUCCAUCCGAUUUCGAGAGGUUGUGUUUGAGUAUUUUUCUUGGGCUUUUGCUUCUCUCCCUUCCACAUGCAACCUCUAUGGACCUUACAAAAGAAGCAGAAGCAGAAAACGGAUGCCGUUUUCCUUGCCAGUGUAACCCAUUGCCUACAAAAAAAUACUUCCCACCUGAUGGUUGGUGGAUUGUCGCUCUCAUAAUAAUGACGUUUUGCUUGUCAAAACUGAUAUUUGUACGUCCAACUCCAGCAGUAGUCAGAAACAACGAAUUAUCUGCAGCUGAAAGAUUGGAAGAGAGAAACAGAAACAUAGAAAAAUACUAUGAGUUACUGAGGAAUACUACACACGAAGUUCCUAUCUUUAGAGGAGAAUCUAAAUCCUCCUUAUAUGCUUUUUAAAAGAGCUUGUCAUGGAAGUAUCUUUUGGUGGAAACAAAACAUUUGUCAUCUUAGAACUCAAUCAUGUGCCAUUUUUGAAUCGUUUUGUAGAAAUCUCUAUUGCUGGGAUUCUUUUCUUUAAUAAGAUUUGAAAAUUAUCUGUUA